rnacentral:rRNA from 1 species
AACGAACGCUGGCGGCAUGCCUAACACAUGCAAGUCGAACGAGACCUUCGGGUCUAGUGGCGCACGGGUGCGUAACGCGUGGGAACCUGCCCGUAGGUUCGGAAUAACUCCCCGAAAGGGGUGCUAAUACCGGAUAAUGUCUUCGGACCAAAGAUUUAUCGCCUUUGGAUGGGCCCGCGUUGGAUUAGCUAGUUGGUAGGGUAAAAGCCUACCAAGGCGACGAUCCAUAGCUGGUCUGAGAGGAUGAUCAGCCACACUGGGACUGAGACACGGCCCAGACUCCUACGGGAGGCAGCAGUGGGGAAUAUUGGACACUGGGCGAAAGCCUGAUCCAGCAAUGCCGCGUGAGUGAUGAAGGCCUUAGGGUUGUAAAGCUCUUUUACCCGGGAUGAUAAUGACAGUACCGGGAGAAUAAGCUCCGGCUAACUCCGUG